GAUAAUAUGUCUGAUUUAAGUGUUAAACUGUAAAUUUAAUUAAGAAGUUUUCUUCUGUUAUCA
rnacentral:tRNA from 1 species